ensembl:lncRNA
AGCGCUUUUGUUGUUGUUGUUGUGCUAAGCUAAAAGGCAGAAUGCUACAGGCAUGGCCCUAAAGAAUGUAGCAUGCAGCGAGAAUGGACUGCCAUACACGUUAUGUGUCUGUGAGCGAGGGAGGGAGAAAAAGGAAAAGUCCGAGCUGUCACGGAGCAAAAACGGGAGCUGGAAGCAUGUAAAUAUAAUAAUAACCACCGCACCCAAGAAGAGUGCCUGACGAGCCCAUUUGUAAGCGGAGCUGCUUUCCCAGGCUCACUCUCCCACACCUGCAAAACAUUAUUCAUCAGGAUGCUGUGUACUUAAGGACCAGCUGUGGCUGUGCAUCUCUGCCAGAAUCUUGGACCGCGACCUGCUCACUCACCAGAAGGACCUACCUGUUUCAGCCAGUUCCACUCCCUGCGUCCACCUCAGCCUGGCUCACCUUAGUGAAAGUCUCAGGUCUCACAUGUGCCUGCCUGCUCUCCACCUUACCAGCUUCCUCAUCUCUGGAACCCAGCCUGCCCUCUGACAUAUCCCCUCACUACCUCCAUUCUCUGGAUCUCAAUUAAGAUAAGCCAACUCAGUUAUAACAAACAACGUUCCCUCAUUACUCUCCAUCAGCCAGUGCUAACUCAGUUUCUCCCCAUCCACAGACCCUUCCAGAUCCUCAGCAUUCUUACCAUCAUUGCCUGGCUCUGUUCUCCCUGGUUAUGUCUGCACUUUAUAAAUAAACAUCUUAAUCUGU